rnacentral:rRNA from 1 species
AACGAACGCUGGCGGCAUGCCUAACACAUGCAAGUCGAACGCCCUCUUCGGAGGGAGUGGCGCACGGGUGCGUAACGCGUGGGAACCUGCCCUUAGGUUCGGAAUAACUCAGAGAAAUUUGAGCUAAUACCGGAUAAUGUCUUCGGACCAAAGAUUUAUCGCCUUUGGAUGGGCCCGCGUUGGAUUAGCUAGUUGGUGGGUAAAGGCCUACCAAGGCGACGAUCCAUAGCUGGUCUGAGAGGAUGAUCAGCCACACUGGGACUGAGACACGGCCCAGACUCCUACGGGAGGCAGCAGUGGGGAAUAUUGGACAAUGGGCGAAAGCCUGAUCCAGCAAUGCCGCGUGAGUGAUGAAGGCCUUAGGGUUGUAAAGCUCUUUUACUGGGGAUGAUAAUGACAGUACCCAGAGAAUAAGCUCCGGCUAACUCCGUGCCAGCAGCCGCGGUAU